GUGACAUACCUAUACGUUGCCUCGGCGGAUCAGCCCGCGCCCCGUAAAAAGGGACGGCCCGCCCGAGGACCCCUAAACUCUGUUUUUAGUGGAACUUCUGAGUAAAACAAACAAAUAAAUCAAAACUUUCAACAACGGAUCUCUUGGUUCUGGCAUCGAUGAAGAACGCAGCAAAAUGCGAUAAGUAAUGUGAAUUGCAGAAUUCAGUGAAUCAUCGAAUCUUUGAACGCACAUUGCGCCCGCCAGUAUUCUGGCGGGCAUGCCUGUUCGAGCGUCAUUUCAACCCUCAAGCUCAGCUUGGUGUUGGGACUCGCGGUAACCCGCGUUCCCCAAAUCGAUUGGCGGUCACGUCGAGCUUCCAUAGCGUAGUAAUCAUACACCUCGUUACUGGUAAUCGUCGCGGCCACGCCGUAAAACCCCAACUUCUGAAUGUUGACCUCGGAUCAGGUAGGAAUACCCGCUGAACUUAAGCA
rnacentral:rRNA from 1 species